GCUGCUGUUUUGGAACACAGUGCCAUACUUCUUCCCGUGUCUAUGGCUGGGGACCCCCAGCACCACGGUGAUCCUAUGCACCACUCUGGGUCUGUGUUCUGUGUCCCACUGAGGCCGUGGGGUGAUGGGAACCAGUCAGACCAGAGGGAAAAGUUGAUGGUCACCACUGGGCAGGGCUCACCGCUCGUGCUAACCAGCUCAACACAGCUCCAGGGCAGCAUCCACGUGUACCCACAGCUCUGCAAUGAGGGGUCUGAGGUCAUCUGCCAUGCUCCAUCCUGGUGACCCUGCUGGACUCACUCCCCUCAACCUGCUGCUAAGCAGCCCCAUAUUGGACCCAGUGCCUAGAUGGGACAUCACCAUCACCAAGCAAAGAGCAGGAAUCAAAGCCUGGUGAUAUUAGCUGCCCCCCACUAACACCACUCAAAGCACCGUUGGCUUUCAGCGCUGCAAACACACUCCAUCGACCCGAGGACAGCUUGCACCACCUCUCUUCACCUUCAGAACCCCUUUCCAGCUGACUGCUCCAACCUGACCAGUUCCACUUGU